GAUGAACGCUGGCGGCGUGCCUAAUACAUGCAAGUCGAGCGAACAGAUGAGGAGCUUGCUCCUCUGACGUUAGCGGCGGACGGGUGAGUAACACGUGGAUAACCUACCUAUAAGACUGGGAUAACUUCGGGAAACCGGAGCUAAUACCGGAUAAUAUAUUGAACCGCAUGGUUCAAUAGUGAAAGACGGUUUUGCUGUCACUUAUAGAUGGAUCCGCGCCGCAUUAGCUAGUUGGUAAGGUAACGGCUUACCAAGGCAACGAUGCGUAGCCGACCUGAGAGGGUGAUCGGCCACACUGGAACUGAGACACGGUCCAGACCCCUACGGGAGGCAGCAGUAGGGAAUCUUCCGCAAAGGGCGAAAGCCUGACGGAGCAACGCCGCGUGAGUGAUGAAGGUCUUCGGAUCGUAAAACUCUGUUAUUGGGGAAGAACAAAUGUGUAAGUAACUAUGCACGUCUUGACGGUACCUAAUCAGAAAGCCACGGCUAACUACGUG
rnacentral:rRNA from 1 species